AUGGGGAAAAUAGUACGCAAUAACUGUGUGGCCCAGUGCCAGGUGGGCUCCCGUGGGAAGCCCUGCUGUCAGAACCAGAUUGUUAUUGUUGGGAAAGACAAAAAAGGCAGAAAGAUCCCAGAAUAUCUGAUCUAUUUUAAUGGCUGGAACAGAAGCUGGGAUCAAUGGGCGGCCGAAGAUCAUGUGCUUCAUGAUACCGAAGAAAAUCGUAGAAUACAGCAUAAAUUGGCAAGAAAAGCUGUAGCUCGCCUGAGGAGCACAGGAAGAAAGAAGUGCUGCAGGUUGCCUGGUGUUGAUUCUGCUUAAAAGCCUCCUCAUUGACGAAAAAGACGAAAAUGAUGAAAACUCAUUAAGCAGUUCCUCUGACAGCAGCAAAGUGUGAAGAAAUAAGUGAAGAAAGUGAUACUGAAGAAAAGACUGAAGUGAAAGAAGAACCAGAGCUUCAAACAAAAAGAGAAAUGGAAGAAACAACAGUAACUACAGAAAUUCCUGAAGUUCUGAAGUAGCAGGAGGAUGAUUAUUAUUACAUUAACAGAAGGAAAUGGUUAGUGAAACUUUCAUGCCAGACCAACAUCAUAAUGAUCUUGGAAGCAUUUUGCUCUCAAUGCAGCCUUUUCAGCCAAUGAGAGGCCUCGUCACCAUCAUGCUAUGCCACAUGCCAGUAGGAACGUGCAUUAUAUCCCAGAAGAAAAGAAUGUUGACCUUUGUAAGGACAUGGUGGAUGGAUUAAGAAUAACCUUUGAUUACACUCUACUGUUGGUUUUACUCUAUCCUUAUGAACAAGCUCAGUAUAAAAAGGUGACUUCAUCCAUGUUUUUUUUUCUAAUUAAGGAAAUUGCCACAAACCCUAAUACGAUCCAGGAGGAACUCUCUCCCAGCCUGUCUUUGUUGAAUUCAUCCAUGCCACAGUCCACAGAGAGUCAGCCAACCAUUAGUGAACCAGACACCCCCAAAAGGCACAAAGCUGAGUUGGAAGCAUUGCAGUCUCCGAGGCGGUCUAUGAGCCACACCACCAACUGUGACAGACUUUCUGACAGCAGCACCUCACCUCAGCCCAAGGGCCAGCAGCAGCACACAUCCGCCAGCAUACCCAAGCUGUUUCUGCACCUGGAAAAGAAGACACCUGUGCACAGCAGAUCGUCUUCACCUAUUCCUCGGACUCCUAGCAAGGAAGGAAGUGCAGUGUUCGCUGGCUUUGAAAGGAGAAAAACUAAUGAAAUGAACGAGGUCCUAUCCUAGAAGCUUAUGCCUGAUAAUUACCCACCAGGUGACCAGUCGCUUCCACCUGUUACAUUUACGGGGCAUAACAUUUGCUGCAAUUGUUUGUAAAACUUCCAGAAAUUCUUGGAAAGAUGUCCUUUUCUGAGAAAAAUCUGAAGGCUUUAUUGAAGCACUUUGAUCUCUAUUUGAGGUUUUUUAGCAGAAUACUGUGAUUACUUUUUCCUAGAGUCAGCUUAUGUCACUUCCUGUGAGGUGCAUUACACAGCAAGAAUCUCCGGGCUAUUUAUUACAAUGUUGAUGGUUCUGUAAGAACAACUCCUCUGUCUAGCUUGGUGCUCUGGGUUCCAGAUGAACAACUAUCAAGGUGGUGGGUCUUUACCCAGAGCACAAACACAAUGCCCACGUGA